rnacentral:rRNA from 1 species
UACGUAGGGACCGAGCGUUGUCCGGAAUCAUUGGGCGUAAAGAGCGUGUAGGCGGCUUUACAGGUCCGUUGUGAAAACUCGAGGCUCAACCUCGAGACGCCGGUGGAAACCGUAAGGCUAGAGUCCGGAAGAGGAGAGUGGAAUUCCUGGUGUAGCGGUGAAAUGCGCAGAUAUCAGGAGGAACACCCGUGGCGAAAGCGGCUCUCUGGGACGGUACUGACGCUGAGACGCGAAAGCGUGGGGAGCAAACAGG